rnacentral:rRNA from 1 species
CUACGGGGGGCUCCAGUCGAGAAUAGUCUACAAUGGGGGAAACCCUGAUAGUGCGACGCCGCGUGGAUGAAGAAGCAUUUAGGUGCGUAAAGUCCUUUUCUAUGUGAGCAAUGCGAAUUAUGUAAAUAGCGUAAUUUGAGAGAUAUUAGCAUAGGAAUAAGCUCCGGCUAACUCCGUGCCAGCAGCCGCGGUAAUACGGGGGGAGCAAGCGUUGUCCGGAAUCACUAGGCGUAAAGGGCAAGUAGGCGGAAAUGUAAGUCAAGUGUUAAAGACGUCGGCUCAACCGACGCAAGGCAUUUGAUACUGUGUUUCUAGAAUUAGGUGAGGGAAGACGGAAUUCCUGGUGUAGCGGUGGAAUGCGUAGAUAUCAGGAAGAACACCAGCGGCGAAGGCGGUCUUCUAUACCAUAAUUGACGCUCAAUUGCGAAGGUGUGGGUAUCGAACAGGAUUAGAUACCCUAGUAGUC